AUUGAACGCUGGCGGCAUGCCUUACACAUUCAAGUCGAACGGUAACGCGGGGCAACCUGGCGACGAGUGGCGAACGGGUGAGUAAUGCAUCGGAACGUGCCCGGUAGUGGGGGAUAACUGCUCGAAAGAGCAGCUAAUACCGCAUACGACCUGAGGGAGAAAGGGGGGGAUCGCAAGACCUCUCGCUAUCGGAGCGGCCGAUGUCGGAUUAGCUAGUUGGUGGGGUAAAAGCCCACCAAGGCGACGAUCCGUAGCUGGUCUGAGAGGACGACCAGCCACACUGGGACUGAGACACGGCCCAGACUCCUACGGGAGGCAGCAGUGGGGAAUUUUGGACAAUGGACGCAAGUCUGAUCCAGCCAUGCCGCGUGCGGGAAGAAGGCCUUCGGGUUGUAAACCGCUUUUGUCAGGGAAGAAAUCUUCUGAGUUAAUACCUCGGGAGGAUGACGGUACCUGAAGAAUAAGCACCGGCUAACUACGUGCCAGCCGCCGCAGUAA
rnacentral:rRNA from 1 species